UUUACGAGCAGCGGAAAAGUUACUCCAAUUAUAAAUCCAAACCAUUUAUCCAACAACAAAUGGUACAUGUAACCCAUCGAAAAUAACAUGUCAAGCUGACAAUAUUAGUAUAGGUACAGUCUUCCAUUUUAAAAUAAAUGCAAUACAAAAGAAAGACAUAUGAUCCCUCUAUGUCAACCUAAUCUGAUCAUUUUACAACACAACUAAACACCCGGAGUGACCUCCACGCGCCCCGUGAGAUUCUCC
rnacentral:lncRNA from 1 species